rnacentral:rRNA from 1 species
UCGCCUGUUUAUCAAAAACAUAGCCUUUAGCCAAACAAGUAUUAAAGGUCUUGCCUGCCCAGUGACUAAUUAAACGGCCGCGGUAUCCUAACCGUGCAAAGGUAGCAUAAUCACUUGUCUCUUAAUUAGAGACUAGCAUGAACGGCUAAAUGAGGGCCUAACUGUCUCUCGUGAAUAAUCAAUGAAACUGAUCUUCCAGUACAAAAGCUGAAAUAUAACCAUAAGACGAGAAGACCCUGUGGAGCUUUAAACUCACCUGCUAAACAAAAAACUACUAGUCAACCUUGCCUACCGAAAUCACAUUUAUAGCAAGAAGCUUCAGUUGGGGCAACUUUGAAAAAAAAAAGAACUUUCAAGCAACAGAACUACAUGUUCAACUUAGACCAACAUGUCUACGUAUUAAUUUAUCGACCCAGUCACACUGAUCAACGAACCAAGUUACCCCAGGGAUAACAGCGCAAUCCUCUUUAAGAGUCCAUAUCGCCAGGAGGGUUUACGACCUCGAUGUUGGAUCAGGACACCCAAGUGGUGCAGCCGCUACUAAAGGUUCGUUUGUUCAACGAUUAAUAGUCCUACGUGAUCUGAGUUCAGACCGGA